UACGAAGGGUGCUAGCGUUGCUCGGAAUCACUGGGCGUAAAGGGUGCGUAGGCGGGCCUUUAAGUCAGGGGUGAAAUCCUGGAGCUCAACUCCAGAACUGCCUUUGAUACUGAAGAUCUUGAGUUCGGGAGAGGUGAGUGGAACUGCGAGUGUAGAGGUGAAAUUCGUAGAUAUUCGCAAGAACACCAGUGGCGAAGGCGGCUCACUGGCCCGAUACUGACGCUGAGGCACGAAAGCGUGGGGAGCAAACAGG
rnacentral:rRNA from 1 species